rnacentral:rRNA from 1 species
CGUGCUUUAUACAUGCAAGUCUAACUGGAAGCUUACUUCGGUAAGUGGAAAGUGGCGAACGGGUGAGUAACGCGUAGAUAAUCAACCUUUUAGUCUGGGAUAAUAUUUGGAAACGAAUACUAAUACUGGAUAAGCUCACGAUGACUCAAGUCAAUGUGAGAAAAGAAAGCCUCUUCAUGAAAGCUUUGCUAGAAGACGAGUCUGCGUAUCAUUAGCUAGUUGGUGGGGUAAGAGCUUACCAAGGCGACGAUGAUUAGCUGGUCUGAGAGGAUGAUCAGCCACACUGGGACUGAGACACGGCCCAGACUCCUACGGGAGGCUGCAGUAGGGAAUAUUCCGCAAUGGGCGCAAGCCUGACGGAGCGACGCCACGUGACCGAAGAAGUUCGAAAGGAUGUAAAGGUCUGUCAGUGGGAAAGAAGGUUAUUGAGAAUAAUAAGUUCGAUAAUUUGACGGUACCCACAAAGGAAGCAUCGGCUAAUUACGUGCCAGCAGCCGCGGUAAUACGUAAGAUGCGAGCGUUAUCCGGAAUCACUGGGUAUAAAGCGUAUGUAGGUGGUUAAACAAGUUAGAUGUGAAAAUUCUACGGCUCAACCGAGAACGUGCAUUUAAAACUGUUUAACUAGAGAUAGAGAGAGGGCAACAGAAUUCCAGGUGUAGUGGUGAAAUGCGUAGAGAUCUGGAAGAAUACCAAUGGAGAAGUCAGUUGCCUGGUUCUAAACUGACACUGAGAUACGAAAGCUAGGGGAGCGAACGGGAUUAGAGACCCCGGUAGUCCUAGCCGUAAACGAUGAACACUAGAUAUUGGGAAAACUCGGUAUCGCAGCAAAUGCAUUAAGUGUUCCGCCUGGGGAGUACGGUCGCAAGAUUAAAACUCAAAGGAAUUGACGGGGACCCGCACAAGCGGUGGAUCAUGUGGUUUAAUUCGAUGCAACGCGAAAAACCUUACCAGCACUUGACAUUUAUUUGAAUACUUGAGAGAUUAAGUAGCUUUUAGUUUACUAAAACAGAUAAACAGGUGGUGCAUGGCUGUCGUCAGCUCGCGUCGUGAGAUGUUGGGUUAAGUCCCGCAACGAGCGCAACCCUUACUGUUAGUUGCCAGCGAGUAAUGUCGGGAACUUUAACGGGACUGCCGGUGACAAACCGGAGGAAGGUGGGGAUGACGUCAAGUCCUCAUGCCCUUUAUGUGCUGGGCUACACACGUGAUACAAUGGCAGGAACAGAGAGAGGCGAAGGGGUGACCUGGAGCGGAACUCAAAAAUCUUGUCCAAGUUCGGAUUGGAGGCUGCAACUCGCCUCCAUGAAGUCGGAAUCGCUAGUAAUCGCGAAUCAGCAUGUCGCGGUGAAUACGUUCUCGGGUCUUGUACACACCGCCCGUCACACCACGAGAGUCGGGUGCACCUGAAACGGCUGAGCUAACUACGAGAGGCAGGUCACUAGGGUGUGUUUGAUGAUUGAGGUGAAGUCGUAACAAGGUA